rnacentral:rRNA from 1 species
GAUGAACGCUAGCUACAGGCUUAACACAUGCAAGUCGAGAGGUAGCAGGGUAGCAAUACCGCUGACGACCGGCGCACGGGUGAGUAACACGUAUCCAACCUUCCCAUAACUCGGGGAUAGCCUUUCGAAAGAAAGAUUAAUACCCGAUAGUACUUUAUUAAGGCAUCUUAAGAAAGUUAAAGAUUUAUUGGUUAUGGAUGGGGAUGCGGUACAUUAGAUAGUUGGUGAGGUAACGGCUCACCAAGUCUUCGUUGGAUAGGGGUUCUGAGAGGACGGUCCACCACAUCGGUACUGAGACACAGACCAAACUCCUACGGGAGGCAGCAGUGAGGAAUAUUAGUCAAUGAGCGAGAGCCUGAAACAGCCGAGUAGCGUAAAAGAGGAAGGUCCUAUGAAUUGUAAACUGCUUUUAUAGUAGAAUAAAGUGAACCACGUGUGGUUUUUUGUAUGUAUACUAUGAAUAAGGAUCGGCUAACUCCGUGCCAGCCGCCGCAGUAA